GCAAAAAUUCUUCUAAUUUAUUUUCACUUGAUAUACUUGAUUAUAAAAGUACAAAUAAAAAUAAACUAAUAUUCUAAUUCUAAAAAGACAUAAAGACAAAAUUCUAAAUUACCUACCAAGAAAAUAUAAAAAUUAAAUCUAUUUCAAAAGUACAUCAAUGAUACUAAAACCUGGCGUGAACGUGUGCUGAUAGAGUAUUAAAAUAUUAACCUGAAUUUGUGACUUGAACUGAAUCCAUGAAGUGUUAUUUAAUAGUACAGUAUCUAAGGCUGCUGUGACACACACACACACACACACACACACACACACACACACACACACACUUUCACCGUUUACAGUUACUGGACAAACGGCUUCAAUAACAGACACAAACACUGAAACACAGACACACAGAUAAAGACCAACUGAGAUAAAGACACGACAGAGCUGCUGUGAGAAAACGACAUAAACAGAGAGAGAGAGAGAGAGAGAGAGCUACGACAGGAAAUGAGAUCGCAGGAAAGGAAUUCCGACUGCAUCCAAGAUGUAGUUUAACGUCUCUAAACACGAGGGCCUGAAACACAACGGCCACAUGCUCCACAGACGCAACCAGCUCACAGAAACAGACCAAAAAUAAACGCAAGAGGAGUUCGUUUCUUAGUCAGAUCUGGAGAAGUGCGUCUCUGCCUCAGCAAUGGAAGCCAAUGGGUGCCGUCGCAACGAGAGUCUGAUAGAAACGUCACGAUAAUCCGCGGCACUCCGGUCCGUCAGUGAACACCUGGAGAAGAUCUGAGGCACAUUUCUCCCGGUCUGAAGGAGAAACAAACUCAUCGUAGUCUCGGAUGAGCCCAGGGGUAACUUAUGACUUGCUGAAAGCAGACAAAAACUGAGCGACAGCCGUUCGGAGACGAUGGAGUCAGACGGCCUCCCAGAACCGAUGCGAUUCUCCAUGCAACACAACUACAACCGAGCUGAAGGAAAUCUCAGCAUUCAUCAGACGAGGACAACUUGAUCACGAGAGAGACGUCUCCUAAUCCCGGGAUUCCUCUGCAAGCGAGGCAGGACUAGAGCUGCUUCUCCAAAACAGGCCCAAUUCUGUCAAACGCCGGUGAAGCAAUGGGGUUAAAAAUCCCUAACCGCCGCACGGUGGACGAGAACAACACUCUCCAUCACAGAUCAAACACUGAUGAUUAGUUCCCAUGCAUCCAUCGAUCUAGUGUUGAUGAAUGUCUAACAACAGAAGCCUGGAAGAAGAGACUAUCCUGCUAAAACAAGGGACAGCUGAAAACACCGUUUAUUCACAGAAAGUGGAGAAUUAUUUUAAUUGCACAUUGGUUACUGACUUAAAAUCAUAAAUGCGUCACGGUAUCCUGAUUUCCUUCCAAAACACCACUGGGUUCACGUUUAUUAAAGUAUUAGAUCUUCUUCAUGCCAUUCCUUGAUGAUAUUACCAGUUUGUCUGUUCAUAAUCAUAGCAGCAUGCUUAAGCGUUUAUAAUAAUAACAAACUACAGUAUUAACACAGUAUUAAUUAGUUGCUUUGUUUGGCCUUAACUACUAUGUACUUACAUAAAAACAAUAAGUGCAGUGUGGUUAUUGUGUCCAUACUGUACUUUUAUACCAACACUUUUUCUGUUAUUGAGGAGGUUAGGGCCAACGGUGUAAUUACAAAUUAAUUACCUGAUGUAAUUACAAUUUUAAAAAAUACGUACAAUGUAAUCAUGCAUGUAUGCAAUAAAUAAUUCAAUAAAUAAAUAGUAUUUGUUUUUUUUUAUUAAUCAAUAACUUUCCUAAAUGUGUUGAUCAGUUGCAGUUUUAGUUCACAAAUCUAAAUGAAAGGUUGAAUUUUAAAGGAAAAAGGUUUUUUAAAUGAUUUAUUACAUUCCUGAUAGGAGUUAUUGUUGCCUUGCGAUACUCUAAAAGAACAUAUUUCAGUUUUCUGCUUCAUUAUUUCACAUUAAGUUCAGUGUGUUACUAAGACAUACAAUAUCUUAAUCAAAACUUGGUACCGUGUUAUUCGCAAUUUCAUGAUGCAUAAUAAAGUUAUAAUCCUUUUAUAAACAAUUUUUGCACGUUCCUGUCACGUCUGGAGUUGGCUGUAUUUCCUGUCGAUGCAAUACAUUUCUAAAGGUGCGUUCGAUGCUUAUCUACUGAUAUCUGUGUUUUAUGACCGCGGUUGCAUAAUGAGGCGCAUCGCUAAUGAAGAUUACUGAUUACUGAUGCAGAUGUGUGACUGGAAAUUGUUCCCACACCAUUUCAAACCAAACUGAGUGACAUUUAAACGCAAAGCAGUCAUAAGACGUGUUCAGCUGCACUGUGGUUCAUAGGGAAACAUGGAAGGGACUGACGCUCAGAGCCAAACAUGUUGUAGGGAGCGUUUACUGUGCUGUGCAGAGAUUAGAUUAGACAUGCAGGACUGUGUGUGUGUGUGUGUGUGUGUGUGUGCUCUGCUUUAAUCUGAGUCAAAUAACAGCAGCAAACACACACUGGCCUCAUGCAUGAGAGCUGUGUGCACCUGAGGAACAGAAGAACAUCACACACACACACACACACACACACACAAUUUCAAAUGUCACCCUCAAACAGAAAUUGAAGCACUGAGCAUCUCCCCGGUGUUUAUCACGUCCACACCCGCCUGUCAGUCCGUCCGGGGAGACGAUCACACGCGUUUCGGCUCGAGACGGAAAGAAUGAUUUCAUCGGCGCGCCGUACUUGUUGCGAUUCCCGUCUAAACGCUUUCAGACGCGGAACACCGCCAGCGUCGUUUACGAGUCCGGGACCCGACGCCCUGCGGCUUCUAAACAUCCACAGCUGGAGAGAAACACUGAUCCGUGUCCGCGCGACGAAAAAACCCUUCGGACGGGGAUAUAACGAUCUGAAGACGCGGCGUUUAUUUCAUCGCGCAUCUGGAUGUGAAGCUAUUUGAGGCUCGCUGUUCAUUCAGACACAGAAUAGGAGGUCAUUUACCAUCUAAUCGCCUCAUAUAUGUCCGAGUUAACGGCUAAGCGAGAAGAAUAGGUAUUUGUUUGUAUACAUUUGCUCGAAUAUCUACAAAAUAUCACAAUAGACCGCGCGAUUUCAGUCAGAAUGUGGAAGGCGCGAUAA